AGAGAUUUUAGAGGCACUGCGAAGACUACCGUGUACUUUUGCAAGAAAAUUUUCUGGUCAGCAAAGAAAGAUUCCCUCUCUGCCCUUUGCUCACCCGAUGCGUCAGCUCAGCACCAAACCUGUUGCCACAUCAUCUUUACAUAUACAUGCAUGAGGUCUCAUAGUGCCACUUGUAAAUUGCUACUUUCACAAUCUGUCCCUCACACAAACUCUCACUCUGCUAUCAGUCGAUUUGUGUUUGAAGUUUGAAGAGAAAAAAUGGUGAAAUCUCAAGAGCAUGAACACCCCAAGAAGGCAUUUGGAUGGGCUGCUAGAGACUCAUCUGGUGUUCUCUCUCCCUUUAAUUUCUCAAGAAGAGAAACAGGAGAGAAAGAUGUGACAUUCAAAGUGUUAUACUGUGGUAUAUGCCAUACUGAUCUUCACAUGGUUAAGAAUGACUGGGGUUUUUCUACCUAUCCUCUGGUUCCUGGGCAUGAGAUUGUUGGUGUAGUGACAGAGGUAGGGAGCAAAGUAGAAAAAUUCAAAGUUGGGGACAAGGUAGGAGUUGGGUGCGUGGUAGGAUCCUGCCAAUCUUGUGAUAAUUGUGCAAACAAUCUUGAGAAUUACUGCCCCAAAUAUAUACUCACCUACGGCGCCAAGUACCAUGACGUAACCAUCACAUAUGGAGGUUACUCUGAUUUCAUGGUGGCCGAUGAGCACUUCGUAAUUUGUGUUCCGGACAACCUUCCUCUUGAUGGUGCUGCCCCUCUUCUAUGCGCAGGAAUCACAACCUAUAGCGCAUUGAGAUAUUAUGGUCUUGACAAACCCGGUAUGCAUGUGGGUGUGGUUGGUCUAGGUGGUCUUGGACAUGUGGCAGUGAAGUUUGCCAAGGCUCUGGGCGUUAGGGUUACAGUAAUAAGUACCUCCCCUAAUAAGAAGAAGGAAGCUAUUGAACAUCUUCGUGCCGAUUUGUUUUUGGUCAGCCGUGAUCAAGAUCAGAUGCAGGCAGCCGUGGGCACAAUGGAUGGCAUUAUCGAUACGGUUUCAGCAGUCCACCCACUCUUGCCUUUAAUUGCUUUGUUGAAGUCUAAUGGAAAGCUUGUUAUGGUUGGUGCACCAGAGAAACCCCUUGAGCUUCCAGUUUUUCCUUUGCUAAUGGGAAGAAAGAUGGUUGCUGGUAGUAAUAUCGGAGGCAUGAAGGAGACACAAGAGAUGAUUGAUUUUGCAGCCAAGCACAACAUAACAGCCCAAGUUGAGGUUAUCCCAGUUGAUUAUUUGAACACUGCCAUGGAGCGCCUUGCCAAAACAGAUGUCAAAUACCGAUUUGUCAUUGACGUUGGGAACACAUUGAAGUCUCACAAUAUGAUAGGAUGGAUCUUAUCUAAAAGAAUAAAUGGAAAAGUUUCAGGUGAGGAUUUGUCAACAACUAGCCAUGAAUUUGCUGAUGUCAGCAUUACGCCACUUGCUCAGGCAAUAGCACAGGCUGAAUUUGCCUGUGGGCUUGCUCGGAUUGAUGGUCCCCACACCUUGCCCGAGCUUGUCCUUACACGCUGGCGCUGUCACGCGGGCCUAAGCCCUCUCCUAUCUAGGCUUCCUCUUACCGCUGGAAGUGCUCUAACGUGGCAUUCUCUACUCACAAUCAUUCUGACAUGGCUAUCAACAACAGCUUUCUCUUUCAUGGAAAUUUCUGAUAAUUUCCUGUUGCCAUUAUUGUUUUUCACCAAAAAUGCGUCAGCUCAGCAGCAUGCACCAAACCCUGCUGCCGCAUCCUCUCUACACGGACAACGCAUAAACUCCCUCAUACUGCCACUUGGGAAUACUGCUGCUUCUCAGACUUGUAAGAGGAAAAAAAAUAUGGCCAAGUCUCAAGAGCAGCAACACCCAAUGAAGGCCUUUGGAUGGGCAGCCAGAAAUUCAUCUGGUGUUCUCUCUCCCUUCAAUUUCUCAAGAAGGUUAUAUUCUCCUUCAAAUCUUGUUUCAUUUUAUUUACAUUUUCAUUUCAAUCUUGGAUAUUGGUUUUUUGUUUUUUAUUUGGAAUGGGAGAUUACUACCUAUCCCCUAGUUCCCGGGCAUGAGAUUGUUGGAGUAGUGACAGAGGUAGGAAGUAGAGUGCUAAAAUACGAAGUUGGAGACAAGGUAGGUGUUGAGUGCCUGGUGGGAUCUUGCCAAUCUUGUGAUAAGUGUGCAAACAAUCUUGAGAACUACUGGCCCAGACUUAUACUCACCUAUGGUGCCAAGUAUCACGACGGAAUUCCACCACGUAUGGAGGUUACUCCGACAUCAUGGUGGCCGAUGAGCACUUCGUGAUUCGUAUUCCGGAUAAGCUGCCUCUUGAGGGUGCUGCUCCUCUCCUUUGUGCCGGGAUUACAACCUACAGCCCGUUGAGAUAUUAUGGCCUCGACAAACCCGGCAUGCAUGUCGGUGUGGUUGGCCUUGGUGGUCUAGGCCAUGUGGCAGUGAAAUUUGCCAAGGCUAAGGGGGUUAGGGUUACAGCGAUUAGUACCUCCCCUAGUAAGAAGGAGGAAGCUAUUAAACGUCUAAAAGCCGAUUCGUUUUUGGUCAGCCGCGAACAAGAUCAGAUGCUGGCAGCCAUGGGCACAAUGGAUGGUAUAAUCGACACGGUUUCUGCAGUUCACCCUAUCUUGCCUUUGAUUCGUUUGUUGAAGACUAACGGAAAACUUGUGGUGCUUGGUGCACCAGAGAAGCCCCAUGAGCUUCCUGUUUUUCCUUUGCUAAUGGGAAGAAAGAUGGUAGGUGUUAGCAACAUUGGAGGUGUCAAGGAGACACAAGAGAUGAUUGAUUUUGCAGCCAAGCACAACAUAACAGCCGAGGUUGAGGUUAUACCUAUCGAAAGCGGACGUCAGAUACCGAUUUGUUAUCGACGACGUUGGAAAUACAUUGAAGCCUCCUGCCUUUUAAGUUGUGCAUCAUGCAAUCGAAAUUAAAAGUUCGAUUUUGUGGUCUUAACUGUUGUUUGUGGCUGUUGUGUAAACAUAUCAGACUGUCUGUCAGCACAUGUGACAGAAUGGAUCUUAAAUAAAAUGGAAUGGUGUGUGUAUCU